rnacentral:rRNA from 1 species
UUGGAGGGCAAGUCUGGUGCCCGCAGCCGCGGUAAUUCCAGCUCCAAUAGCGUAUAUUAAAGUUGUUGCAGUUAAAAAGCUCGUAGUUGAAUUUCGGGGUUAGUAGGUUGGUCAUGCCUCUGGUAUGUACUGGUCUCACUGAUUCCUCCUCCCUGAUGAACCUUAAUGCCAUUAAUUUGGUGUUUUGGGGAAUUUGGACUGUUACUUUGAAAAAAUUAGAGUGUUUAAAGCAAGCUAACGCUUGAAUACAUUAGCAUGGAAUAAUGAAAUAGGACGUUCGAUCCUAUUUUGUUGGUUUCUAGGAUUGACGUAAUGAUUAAUAGGGAUAGUUGGGGGCAUUAGUAUUCAAUUGUCAGAGGUGAAAUUCUUGGAUUUAUUGAAGACUAACUACUGCGAAAGCAUUUGCCAAGGAUGUUUUCAUUAAUCAAGAACGAAAGUUAGGGGAUCGAAGACGAUCAGAUACCGUCGUAGUCUUAACCAUAAACUAUGCCGACUAGGGAUCGGAUGAUGUUAAUUUUUUAAUGACUCAUUCGGCGCCUUACGGGAAACCAAAGUGUUUGGGUUC